rnacentral:rRNA from 1 species
GACGAACGCUGGCGGCGCGCUUAACACAUGCAAGUCGAGCGAGGCCCCUCCUUCGGGAGGGUGUCCUAGCGGCGAACGGGUGAGUAACACGUGGGCAACCUGCCCUCAGCUCUGGGAUAACUCCGGGAAACCGGGGCUAAUACCGGAUACGACCUCCACGGGCAUCUGCGGAGGUGGAAAGUUUUUCGGCUGAGGAUGGGCCCGCGGCCUAUCAGCUAGUUGGUGGGGUAGUGGCCCACCAAGGCGACGACGGGUAGCCGGCCUGAGAGGGCGACCGGCCACACUGGGACUGAGACACGGCCCAGACUCCUACGGGAGGCAGCAGUGGGGAAUAUUGCGCAAUGGGCGAAAGCCUGACGCAGCGACGCCGCGUGAGGGACGAAGGCCUUCGGGUUGUAAACCUCUUUCAGCAGGGACGAAGCGAAAGUGACGGUACCUGCAGAAGAAGCACCGGCCAACUACGUG